UGAGGAAUAUUGGACAAUGGGCGCAAGCCUGAUCCAGCAACGCCGCGUGGAGGAUGAAGGCCUUCGGGUUGUAAACUUCUUUUAGUGGGGACAAGGAAGGAUGGUACCCACAGAAUAAGUCACGGCUAACUACGUGCCAGCAGCCGCGGUAAUACGUAGGUGACGAGCGUUAUCCGGAAUUAUUGGGCGUAAAGCGUACGCAAGCGGUUGAUAAAGUCUGACGUGAAAUUUCUUGGCUUAACCGAGAGGGGUCGUUGGAAACUAAUCGGCUUGAGGCGAUGAGAGGAGUGCGGAAUUCCCGGUGUAGUGGUGGAAUGCGUAGAUAUCGGGAGGAACAUCAGUGGCGAAAGCGGCACUCUGGCAUUAGCCUGACGCGCAGGUACGAAAGCGUGGGGAGUGAACGGG
rnacentral:rRNA from 1 species